UACGUAGGGUGCAAGCGUUAAUCGGAAUUACUGGGCGUAAAGCGUGCGCAGGCGGUUUUGUAAGUCAGAUGUGAAAUCCCCGGGCUUAACCUGGGAACUGCGCUUGAAACUACAAGGCUAGAGUGUGGCAGAGAGGGGUGGAAUUCCACGUGUAGCAGUGAAAUGCGUAGAGAUGUGGAGGAACACCGAUGGCGAAGGCAGCCCCCUGGGUUAACACUGACGCUCAGGCACGAAAGCGUGGGGAGCAAACAGG
rnacentral:rRNA from 1 species